UUCACGGCUGUAGCCCAUGUGAGUCUCCAUUCUCCACGCUGUUGUCGUAACCCUAUCUUCUUCAUCGCUUACCUUUCGACUCCCACCCCUUCCAUUUCUCAUCUCUCCCAAUCCGUUUCAAGGAUUAACUUCACCGCAAUUUUUCAACUUCAUCUCUCUCAAGGCCGAUGGACCCUAAUUUUUCUGUAUCGAAGAAACGAGCUCUCUCUCUCUUUCGUACGGCGAUGAAUCUUUGACGUCUUAUCUUCCUUUCACCAUCUGAAACGGUCCGGCGUCGUGUUUACUCCAUUGAUUCACUCCCCCCCCCCCCACGAUGUCUUCUUCAAUGAUUUGUUCCGAUCUACAAGCCGGUGUUUUUCUGUAUAAAUAUAUGGGCAGAGAGUAUGUGAGAGCAAUAGAUAGUGAGAGAGGAGAUAAUGAAUGGUGGUGAUGAGAUCAGAGCUUCGUCGUUUUAGAUCGGACAUUCUCAGUUCAGGCGAAGAAGUUCGAGAAGGCUGUACUGCUUACAAGCAAGGGACUGGACGAGAAACGUCUGUGUUAGAAUUGGUUGCUGCUUUUAAAAAAGCUUCUGGCAAGAAAAUACCUACCAAGCUUUGUCCGAGAAGGGCAGGAGAUGCAACUGCAGUUUAUGCUUCAACAGAGAGAACUGAGAAAGAACUUGGCUGGAAGUAGAUUGUCUUUUAUUCAACUGAGCCAAGUGUUUUACGAAAAUCAAAGGUGGCUUGAGGUACUUCAGCUUUUGUUUGCAGUUCUUUCAGUGAGUGUCAACCUCCACAUGAGAAACAGAGGAUGCAACUUAACAGAGAACUGGGUUUAGGUCCAAGACGGAUAAAGUUUUGGUUUCAGAACCGAAGAAUACAGAAUAAGGCACAACAAGAAAGAGUUAAUAGUUGUGCACUCAAGGAAGAGAAUGAUUGGAUUCAUUGCGAAAACAUUGCCAUUCGAGAAGCUCACAAACACACCAUUUGCCAUAACUGUGGUGAUGCUCCUGUUCAUGACGACUCUUUGAUGAACAGAAGCUUUGAAUCUAAAAUGCUUCUAGCUUUUUCUUUACCAUCUCAUGUUCAAAACAAUGAUACUUUGUUCAUAGAGAAGCUCCUCUCAGGCUGUCCUGUUCUUGAAGAUUUCACGGUGUGUAGGGUUUUUGAUGACAGUGUACCUGUUCAGCGUGUGAGAUCUCAGUGUCUUAAGAGGUUUUGUGUAAAGUUUGGCCGUCAAAGAAGAAUUUUUGGUAAAGAGUAUGCGGUUGGUGCCAGUUUAAUGAGAACUGUUGGUAUCAAAUCUUUUUUUACUAUUUGUUACUAUAUGUUGUUGAGACCUCACAAGAAAAGUAAGAAAAUAUGAGGAAACCAUAAGAGUAAAUAAACUAAUACAA